AGAAGAUUUGCAAGCAAGACUCUGAUUCUUGUCAUAGAGCUCACAGACUUCCUCACUUACCGGCCUUUUUCCUUCCUUUUUUUUUUUUUUUUUUUUAAAUUUCUUCCCUCUUUUUCUGCUCUCUCCUCUCUCAGUUUCUCCUUUCCUGUCUGCCUCGUUUUUUUUUCUCCUGGUCUUCUUUUUUUUCCUGCUCUGCACCUGGAUUGUAUCUUCACCAAACAAUCGGGCACUUUGAGAACUAACUGGAGGCAGUCUUGUAGGGAAGAGCUGUAUGGAAUUAUCUGCUUUUAUGGUGAACUUGGCAUUUGUGAAUGGGUAUCUUGUUCACGAAAUUAAUUGCUAGCAAAAACAAGAAAAAGAACACAGGAGUAAAACGUGGAUUUUUCUGAAUACGCAUUGUGAUGACCAGCAAUUACCUUACCGACUGAUAUCCAGAGGAGAAUAAUUUGGAAGACUGUUGUGGAUGAAUUUGACCGGGCAUGUUUAUCUGACUUCAUUGAUGCCUAUAAACAAUUUGAGUCAAUUGAUUUCAGCUUCGCCACACGGAGUGUCACAUCCCUUAAAGUAGGGGAUUUCAAGAGCUGCUUCAGAGAACUUUAAAACUUUCAAUAAUGUUUUAAAUACCUGGGGAAUAAAAACAAAAACUAAGAGUAACAAUGUUGGAGGAGGAGGCAGUGGAAAGGAACAGAGAAUAGGCGCAAAAGGAAAAAUAAAGGUGACUGGAAAAAAAAAGACGAUUCCAAAGUGAAGUAAUACAGUACUGUUGCCUCCAACCUUUAUCUUGAAUAUUAAAAGAAUGAGGAUUGAAUAUUUGGGGGAAUCCCAGCAAAGCAAGAAGGGGUGAAGUUGCUGAGAAGGGCCAAUGCCAGUGGUAUGUGACUCCAGGACCUACUCAAAGAAGUUUGCAGGUCCAUUUGUAGAUCUUGAUCUACACAUCCUGAGACUCAAUAGUUAAUUUUACCCACUCAGAUAAAGGUUUUAUUUAUCUGAUUUUAACAGAUGCAAUAAAAGUUAUUUAAAUU
rnacentral:lncRNA from 1 species